GGUCCGUUAGCUCAGUCGGCAGAGCGUGGUGCUAAUAACGCUAAGGUCAUGGGUUCGAGCCCUAUACGGACCA
rnacentral:tRNA from 1 species